rnacentral:lncRNA from 1 species
UGCGUCUUGGCCAUCCUCAACCAGAAGUUCUCAAGCUGCUGUCUGAAAAUAAAGCUAUUAGUAUCAGUAGAUCUUUGAAUAAACUCUGUGAGUCAUGUCGACUUGCAAAGAGUACUAGACUACCUUUUUAUGAUUAUGUUUUUGUAGCUUCAAAACCCCUUGAAAGAUACACUGUGAUCUCUGGGGUCCGUCUCCUCUUGUAUCGUUUCAAAGUUUUCAAUACUAUGUGGUGUUUAUUGACAACUAUUCAAGAUUCUGCUGGUUUUAUCCGCUUAAGUUGAAGUCUGAGUUCUUUGAAGUCUUUCAAAUAUUUCAGAAACUUGUUGAAAAUCAGUUUUGUUGCAAGAUAAAGUCAUUUCAGUGUGAUGGAGGAGGAGAAUUCACGAGUAAAGUAUUUCAACAUCAUCUGGAACAGAAUGGAAUCAAGCAGCUAAUGUCCUACCCUCACACUCCCCAACAGAACGGGCUUGCGGAAAGAAAGCACGUCAUCUUGUGGAACUCGGUCUUUCAAUGUUGUUUUAAAGCAAAUUGCCACAAAGAUACUGGGUUGAAGCGUUUGCAACUGCUCAUUUUCUCUCUAAUCUUCUGCCUACUUCAACCUUACCGAAUCACAUGUCACCUUAUGAGAAACUGUUUGGCAAAACUCCUGACUACUCAGCCUUAAGAACUUUCGGUUGUGCCUGCUUCCCAACACUGAGAGACUAUGCUUCUCAUAAAUUUGAUCCAAGGUCUCUCAAAUGUGUGUUCUUGGGUUAUAGUGAUAAGCAUAAAGGAUACAGAUGCUUAUAUCCUCCAACUGGCAGAUUCUACAUCAGCCGACAUGUGAUCUUUGAUGAGACUAACUUUCCUUUUGCCAAUAUUUAUCUUCAUCUUCAGCAGAAGAACUCGACUCCUCUGUAUCACGCUUGGCAGCAAAGUUUCAUGCAACCAAAUUCCACCUCUCAAGCUGCUUCAUCUGUACUUAGUCGCCAUCAAGAGUCACAGCAGAUUCCUAUACAGUUUGGUUCUGUUCCACCUCUCUCUACGGCUGUUUCUUCUAGUCAACCUGGUGUGAGUUCAGAGGAUUGUCUGUUUAAUGAAUCAGAUUUCCCUCUGCUUGCUUCAAGACCGUCAACUUAUACUUCACCUGAUCACUCAAGCGCCGCUUCUGGUCCUAUCCAAACCACUCAAACCGUCUCUGCUACUACUUCUGAGCCUUCUGAGAGAGCUGUUCCAGACGUGCAAGCUCCUCAGGUUUCAACCUCUACAGCUAACACUCAUUCAAUGCUGACUAGAGCCAAGACGGGUAUUGUUAAACCAAACCCCAGAUAUGUUCUGAUGUCACGCAAAGUGGCUUUUCCUACUCCUAAGACGGUAUCUGAAGCUCUGAAAGACGAAGGUUGGACAGAAGCAAUGACUGAGGAAUAUGUAAACUGCAAAGAAACUAAAACAUUUUCCUUAGUUCCACGUUCUCCAAACAUGAAUGUGUUAGGCAGCCUCUGGGUUUUCAGAAACAAGCUAAACGCUGAUGGUACAUUUGGUAAAAGAAGAGCAAGGGUUGUGGCAAAAGGAAAUCAUCAAGAAGAGGGCAUAGAUUACUUAGAAACCUAUAGUCCUGUUGUCAGAACUGCAACAGUGAGGAUUGUGCUUCAUAUAGCUACAAUUAUGAACUCGAAUCUGAAGCAAAUGGAUGUGCAAAACGCCUUUCUCCAUGGUGAUUUAACUGAAACCGUCUACAUGACUCAACCAGCCGGGUUUGUCGAUAAAGAUCAUCCCGAUCAUGUCUGGCUCUUACAUAAAUUUCUCUAUGGUUUAAAACAGUCUCCUCGCGCCUGGUUUGAUAAAUUUAGUCUCUAUCUCUUGGAGUUUGGUUUUUUAUGCAGCAUUAAAGAUCCUUCUCUCUUCAUCUUCAGUCAAGGAAAAUAUGUCAUCAUGUUGCUAUUAUUGUAAACGACGAGGCGGGUGGAAGGAAUGACGGCGAGACGAAUGGAAAGAGCAACGGGGAGACGAGCAGGAGUGGCGACUGUGAGGUGAGUGGAAGGAGUGACGACGGCGAAGCGAGAGGAAGAAGAAACGGCGGCGGCGCGAGGAAGAGGAGGAGCUAUGACGGGGGAGAGUCGAAAUCCGGUGAGUUCACACUCGGACUGAGUAAAUCCAGCGACGAAACGGUUAUCAUUAGAGACAUCGACGGAAGCACGAGACAUUGACAUAGUGACGAAACUGAAAACGAGACAGAGAUAGAGGAAGAAGCUAUUCAUAACGGAAGGAGAAAGACGACGCCGGCGAGCACAGCCGCCGCCAGCGUCGAGGGAGAUGAAGUUGUGCGGCGACCUCGUACUCUGUGUCUGGGAGCUUUUAAAACUAGGGCGAACUCUUCUUUUUUUUACAGUACUCAUACUCAUACUGGCAGUGCUAGUAUUGCUUCUACAUCAGGUAAUCUUCCUCUUCAAGAUGUACUUGUAUGCCCUGAAAUUGCAAAGUCUCUUAUGUUUGUUUCAAAGCUUACCAAAGACUAUCCUUGCUCUUUUGAAUUUGAUUGUGAUGGUGUUCGGAUAAAUGACAAGUCAACAAAGAAGCUACUAGUGACAGGCAACAACAAUAAUGGGCUCUACAGGAUUGAGGAUCCAGGAUUGAAAGUGCUCUACUCUUCUCGCCAGUGCUCUGCAACUGAUGAAGUCUGGCAUAUGCGUCUUGGCCAUCCUCAACCAGAAGUUCUCAAGCUGCUGUCUGAAAAUAAAGCUAUUAGUAUCAGUAGAUCUUUGAAUAAACUCUGUGAGUCAUGUCGACUUGCAAAGAGUACUAGACUACCUUUUUAUGAUUAUGUUUUUGUAGCUUCAAAACCCCUUGAAAGAUACACUGUGAUCUCUGGGGUCCGUCUCCUCUUGUAUCGUUUCAAAGUUUUCAAUACUAUGUGGUGUUUAUUGACAA